ensembl:snRNA U2 U2 spliceosomal RNA
UUAAUUUUUGUACUUUAAUAAAAAAAAAACAAAAAAUGUUCUUAUCAGUUUAAUAUCCGAUACGUCCCCCAUCGGGGGACCACAUAUUAAACGGAUUUUUGGAACGGGGAGCUGGAUCAGGCGCUUGCUCCGUCCUCUCCACGCAUUGGCCCAGUAUUACAGUGCCUCCGGGAACGGUGCACUACCU